rnacentral:rRNA from 1 species
CCUACGGGUGGCAGCAGUGAGGAAUAUUGGUCAAUGGGCGCGAGCCUGAACCAGCCAAGUAGCGUGAAGGAUGACUGCCCUACGGGUUGUAAACUUCUUUUAUAAAGGAAUAAAGUGAGGCACGUGUGCCUUUUUGUAUGUACUUUAUGAAUAAGGAUCGGCGAACUCCGUGCCAGCAGCCGCGGUAAUACGGAGGAUCCGAGCGUUAUCCGGAUUUAUUGGGGUGAAAGGGAGCGUAGAUGGGUUGUUAAGUCAGUUGUGAAAGUUUGGGGCUCAACCGUAAGAUUGCAAUUGAUACUGGCAGCCUUGAGUUCAGGUGAGGUAGGCGGAAUUCGUGGUGUAGCGGUGAAAUGCUUAGAUAUUACGAAGAACUCCGAUUGCGAAGGCAGCUUACUAAACUGCCACUGACAUUGAUGCUCGAAAGUGUGGGUAUCAAACAGGAUUAGAUACCCGUGUAGUC